UGUAAGCGUAUACCAAAGUUGUUGCAGUUAAAACGCUCGUAGUCGGAAUUUGGCAGUUCCGGAUGUGUGCACGUCGUGUGCGCACAUCGCGGGGAUUGCUUUUGUGGUCUUGCGUAGGAUGAGGCACUUUUAUUAGUGAACGUCCUCACGCAACCACUUUUUACUGUGAGAAAAUCAGAGUGCUCAAAGCAGGCAUUUGCCGUGAAUGUAUUAGCAUGGAAUAAUAGAAUAGGACUUGGUUCUAUUUUGUUGGUUUGUUGGGACUGAGUAAUGAUUAAGAGGGACAGUUGGGGGCAUUUGUAUUUCGGUGCUAGAGGUGAAAUUCUUAGAUUACCGAAAGACAAACUGCUGCGAAAGCGUCUGCCAAGGAUGUUUUCAUUGA
rnacentral:rRNA from 1 species